GAGGUUGUGGCUCACUGGUAGAGCGCUCACCUAGCAAGUGUGAGGCCUUGGGUUCGAUACUCAGCACCACA
rfam:Ictidomys tridecemlineatus contig108982, whole genome shotgun sequence.